rnacentral:rRNA from 1 species
ACGGAGGGUGCAAGCGUUGUUCGGAAUUAUUGGGCGUAAAGAACGUGUAGGCGGGUUUGUGUGUCAGAUGUGAAAGCCCUCGGCUCAACCGAGGAAGUGCAUCUGAAACUGCAAAUCUUGAGUACGAGAGAGGAGAGUGGAAUUCCCAGUGUAGAGGUGAAAUUCAUAGAUAUUGGGAAGAACACCGGCGGCGAAAGCGGCUCUCUGGCUCGAUACUGACGCUGAGACGUGAAAGCGUGGGGAGCAAACAGGAUUAGAUACCCUGGUAGUCCACGCCGUAAACGAUGUGCACUAGGUGUUGGGGGUAAUAAAACCUUCAGUGCCGCAGCUAACGCAUUAAGUGCACCGCCUGGGGAUUACGGUCGCAAGAUUA